GCUAAGACUGGAUAGGAAGAAAUAAGGCAUCUUUUUUCUUUUAAAAGACCUAGUGAUAGGUAUACUUUAGGAGGGGCUUGCGCCAUAUUAGUUAGUUGGUAGGGUAAUGGCCUACCAAGACGAUGAUGUGUAGCUGGACUGAGAGGUUGAACCGCCACAUUGGGACUGAGACACGGCCCAAACUCCUACGGGAGGCAGCAGUAGGGAAUUUUCGGCAAUGGAGGAAACUCUGACCGAGCAACGCCGCGUGAACGACGAAGUACUUUGGUAUGUAAAGUUCUUUUAUCAAGGAAGAAAAGCAAGUGGUGAACCAUUUGUUUGCCGGUACUUGAUGAAUAAGCCCCGGCUAAUUAUGUGCCAGCAGCCGCGGUAAGACAUAAGGGGCAAGUGUUAUCCGGAAUUAUUGGGCGUAAAGGGUGCGUAGGCGGUCUAGUAAGUCAGUGGUGUAAUGGCAACACUCAACGUUGUCCGGCUAUUGAAACUGCUAAACUUGAGUUAGAUAGAGGCGAGUGGAAUUCCAUGUGUAGCGGUAAAAUGCGUAAAUAUAUGGAGGAACACCAGAGGCGUAGGCGGCUCGCUGGGUCUUAACUGACGCUGAGGCACGAAAGCGUGGGGAGCAAACAGGAUUAGAUACCCUGGUAGUCCACGCCGUAAACGAUGAGUACUAAGUGUCGGGUUAAACCGGUACUGAAGUUAACACAUUAAGUACUCCGCCUGAGUAGUACGUACGCAAGUAUGAAACUUAAAGGAAUUGACGGGACUCCGCACAAGCGGUGGAUCAUGUUGUUUAAUUCGAAGAUACCCGAAAAACCUUACCAGGUCUUGACAUGUUUUUGCGAAACGGUAGUAAUAUCGUGGAGGUUAUCAGAAACACAGGUGGUGCAUGGUUGUCGUCAGCUCGUGUCGUGAGAUGUUAGGUUAAGUCCUAAAACGAGCGAAACCCUUAUCGUUAGUUGCCAGCACGUUAUGGUGGGGACUUUAACGAGACUGCCAGUGAUAAAUUGGAGGAAGGUGAGGAUCACGUCAAAUCAGCAUGCCCCUUAUGACCUGGGCUACAAACGUGAUACAAUGGCUGUUACAAAGGGUAGCUGAAACGCAAGUUCUUGGCCAAUCCCCAAAAACAGUCUCAGUCCGGAUUGAAGUCUGCAACUCGACUUCAUGAAGUUGGAAUCGCUAGUAAUCGCGAAUCAGCAUGUCGCGGUGAAUACGUUCUCGGGGUUUGUACACACCGCCCGUCA
rnacentral:rRNA from 1 species